rnacentral:rRNA from 1 species
AACUUUCAACAACGGAUCUCUUGGUUCUGGCAUCGAUGAAGAACGCAGCGAAAUGCGAUAAGUAGUGUGAAUUGCAGAAUUCAGUGAAUCAUCGAAUCUUUGAACGCACAUUGCGCCCUUUGGUAUUCCAAAGGGCAUGCCUGUUCGAGCGUCAUUUGUACCCUCAAGCUUUGCUUGGUGUUGGGCGUCUUGUCUCUAGCUUUGCUGGAGACUCGCCUUAAAGUAAUUGGCAGCCGGCCUACUGGUUUCGGAGCGCAGCACAAGUCGCACUCUCUAUCAGCAAAGGUCUAGCAUCCAUUAAGCCUUUUUUUUCAACUUUUGACCUCGGAUCAGGUAGGGAUACCCGCUGAACUUAAGCAUAUCAAUAAGCGGAGGAA